rnacentral:rRNA from 1 species
UUAAAGGUACCCGUACCGCAAACCGACACAGGUGGGUGAGGAGAGUAUCCUAAGGCCAGCGAGAGAACUGUUGUUAAGGAACUCGGCAAAAUGACCCCGUAACUUAGGGAUAAGGGGUGCCACCAUCAGGUGGCCGCAGAGAAUAGGCCCAAGCGACUGUUUACCAAAAACAUAGGUUUCUGCUAAGUCGCAAGACGAUGUAUAGGAGCUGACGCCUGCCCGGUGCUGGAAGGUUAAGGGGAUCUGUUAGAGCAAUCGAAGCAGUGAACUUAAGCCCCAGUAAACGGCGGCCGUAACUAUAACGGUCCUAAGGUAGCGAAAUUCCUUGUCGGGUAAGUUCCGACCCGCACGAAAGGCGUAACGAUUUGGGCACUGUCUCAACAACAGACUCGGUGAAAUUGUAAUUCCGGUGAAGAUGCCGGAUACCUGCGACAGGACGGAAAGACCCCAUGGAGCUUUACUGUAGCUUGACAUUGGGUCUUGGUACUACAUGUACAGGAUAGGUGGGAGGC